rnacentral:rRNA from 1 species
UACGUAGGGUGCGAGCGUUAAUCGGAAUUACUGGGCGUAAAGCGUGCGCAGGCGGUUGUGCAAGACAGGUGUGAAAUCCCCGGGCUUAACCUGGGAACUGCGCUUGUGACUGCACAACUAGAGUACGGCAGAGGGGGGUGGAAUUCCUGGUGUAGCAGUGAAAUGCGUAGAUAUCAGGAGGAACAUCGAUGGCGAAGGCAGCCCCCUGGGCCAGUACUGACGCUCAUGCACGAAAGCGUGGGGAGCAAACAGG